CAAUAGCGUAUAUUAAAGUUGUUGCAGUUAAAAAGCUCGUAGUUGGAUUUCGGGGUGGCCUGGCUGGUCCACCGCAAGGUGUGUACUGGUCAGCUGCCCUUCCUCUCGAAAGCCCCGACUGCUCUUCAUUGUUGUGGUCGGGUAGUUCGAGACGUUUACUUUGAAAAAAUUAGAGUGUUCAAGGCAGGCCGUCGCCUGAAUACAUUAGCAUGGAAUAAUGGAAGAGGACCUUGGUCCUAUUUUGUUGGUUUCUGGGGCCGAAGUAAUGAUUAAGAGGGACAGUUGGGGGCAUUCGUAUUUAAUUGUCAGAGGUGAAAUUCUUGGAUUUAUGAAAGACGAACUAGUGCGAAAGCAUUUGCCAAGGAUGUUUUCAUUGA
rnacentral:rRNA from 1 species